rnacentral:rRNA from 1 species
GUGCCAGCCGCCGCGGUAAGACGAACCGUGCAAACGUUGUUCGGAAUCACUGGGCUUAAAGGGCGCGUAGGCGGGCUCCCAAGUCGGUGGUGAAAUCUUUCGGCCCAACCGGAAAAGUGCCGCCGAUACUGGGAGUCUCGAGGGAGGUAGGGGUCGAGGGAACUUCCGGUGGAGCGGUGAAAUGCGUAGAUAUCGGAAGGAACGCCGGUGGCGAAAGCGCUCGACUGGACCUCUUCUGACGCUGAGGCGCGAAAGCCAGGGGAGCAAACGGGAUUAGAAACCCCAGUAGUCC